rnacentral:rRNA from 2 species
UAUGCCCGAGCAGGACGAAGCCAGAGGAAACUCUGGUGGAGGUCCGCAGCGAUUCUGACGUGCAAAUCGAUCGUCCGACUUGGGUAUAGGGGCGAAAGACUAAUCGAACCGUCUA